CACGCGUUGUCGCUCUAUCUGUCUCUGUCUCGGUCUGAAUCUCUCAAUCUCGUUUUCUUUCUCCUUCAUGUUUUUCUCAAUCUCAAUUCUUUCGAACUCGAGUGAAGGUACGCUCUCUCUCUCUCUCUGUGUGUGUUUGAAUCUCUCAAUCUCGUUUUCUUUCUCCUUCAUGUUCUUCUCAAUCUCUCAAUCCCAAUUCUUUCGAACUCGAUUGAAGGUACGCUCUCUCUCUCUCUCUCUCUCUCUCUCUCUUUCUCUCUCUCUCUCUCUCAAGUUUCUUUUUCUGUUUCUUCUUGUUUUCGAGUUUGAAUCUACACCUAGGGUUUCGAUCGAGUUCAAGGUACUCUUUCUCAGAAGUUCUUCUGUCUGUUUCUAUCUUCCUUCAUUUCUUUUUAUUUUGCGAUUUGAAUCUGCGCCUAGGGUUUGGAUCGACGGAUGACCCUUGCAAUUUCUAGGGUUUUCCAUUUCGAUUAUUACAUUCGUUAUGUUCCUGGUGGAGAUGUAGACCCCAGUUUUGAGAAGACAUUGUACACAACCUUUAAUGUUGGUCUGUUUGUUGUUUUGGUGAGAAACUCCUCUCCAUCUAGUUUGGAACAAAUCAAAUUAUCUUUUUCUCAUUACCGAAUGAGGAAUAACAAAUAAUAUGGCAUAUUGAUUGCAUUUUAUAUCUUCUACUGUUGAAAUUGACAAAUUGUAUUAUGAAAGUAGCAUAAUAUUUGUAGAUUAUCAUUUUAUUGACAGUGUUUAUAUGAUCAGGACCUUCUAAUCGAGUUCAUUUAUUUUUCUUACAAUUAUCUGUUGUGAAAUCAGUCAAUAAUCUACUUUGUGGGAUGCUAUACGAACCGAAAUGCUGCAAGGAGCCACUCUAAAGUUUGAAACAGACGUAUGUAUCUCAAGAAAUCUUCACUUGGAGGUAAACUUAUUCACAUUCCUUAAAAUCACACUUUCUGUCUGUAAGUUGUUUAUCGUUGAUAAUUUUAGACAAAUAGACACACAUACACCAUUGUUUCUCAAGCACUGACUGGGAAAAUUAUAUUUGGAGCAUCUAUUUUCUGAAGUAUUACAAUUCUGUGAAGGUUUUAUCAUUCAUGUAAUUAUGUGUUAGAGAAUGUAAGAAAGAAUGUUGUAUCCAUCACAUGCUUCGAAGGGAGUUAUUAUUUUUUCAAUACCUCAAAAUGGUGCAUUUUUUUUUCUCUUCAAAAUACAACACAUGCUUGUAAUUCAAGUUCAUUGUAAAAAUCAUAAAUUUGGGGACUGUUUAUUCUUAGAAGGUUGAUGAUACAUGCAUCUCAUCAAAGUAGAGCUAAUCCCAGUUGGGUUCAUAGGCAAUUUCAACACUUAACAGAUACUAAAAGGUCAUUUCUUCCAUCUGAAAGAAGAAUAGGUCAGAAGGACCAUCACCAACCGUCAAAGCCAGCUUUACAGGACCUUUUGCACCUUGUUCAGCCGUGUAGUGUCCAUUAUUAAAGCUCAUGUCUGUUUUACAAAAGGCAGGAGUAACUGAAUUUAUGCCGAAAUUUGGGAAUUUUUUAGCUAAAAACCUCGUGUAGGCGUUAAGAGUUGCUUUGGAGACAACAUAAGCAGAGAGAACAGAGCAGCCUUAACAAGUCUUCUUUAACAUCCUGUAAAUACCGACUCACUACCUCAUCUACUUUCUAUUCUGUGAGUCCAUUAAUUUGUAACAUACUGCAUAAAAACAUUUGGUUAUACGUCACAGGCUAAAUUUAUAGCACAGUUUAACCAGCCUUUGAGGGAAAGUUUUUUACCUUUAGCUGCCCCAAACCGGGUGAGACAUUAAUAAUUCUUGCAGAACUAGAGAGCCAAAGAAGUGGAAUGAGAGCUUGAGAUAGCUGUUUAGGUCCGUAGUAAUUUGUUCGUAGACACCCUUCUACUAUUUCAUAGGUAAACGACAUACCUCUCCAGACUUAAGCUUUAAACUAGUAAAAGACUCCGCAUCCAUUAUGACUCCGCUGACCCCUGCAUUGUUCAUCUACCAAGAAUUUACAUCCAUACAUGUUAGUAAACAAUUACCCAUUAGAUAGAUAUAGAUAAAAUUAGUUUCAAUCAAUUUAGUUUGUUUCCAAUCUUACCAAUAUGUUGAACUUUCCGAAUUUAUUUUUGAUUUAAUCUGCUAAAGAAGCAAUACUAGCAGAGUCUGUAACUGUUCCCACCAUUUCUGAAUGUAGUAGAUGAUAGUGGUGAUGAGGAUGAGUUGUGUGUAGAUAAUUUUGAAGUUGGAGAUAUCUAUUUAUAUAAACAUAAGACUCAUUCUAUAAGACUAAGAAUGAGCGUAUGACAUGUAUGCUGUGACAACAUCCUCAUUUUGUUCAACUUAUUGAUGCUAAGUGCUUUCCUCUUGUAGGAGUGCUUCAUUUAGCAUUUGCUUCAGAUCUUGAGUUUACUUGCUUUUCCUGUAAUGUUUUUUGUUACCUAGCUGAGUUUUUAAGUAGAUAUUCGUGUUGUCUGCUGUGUCCCCUGAGACGAUGCCACUGGUGUUGCCAAAUAUCAGAAAAGUUCUAAAGCCAAAUGGUUAUUCGCUAUUCUGUGACUAUGCCACUGGCGACCUUGCUCAGAUUGUUUUUGCGUGGGCUAUUGUGGAUAUUUAUUUUUGUGUACGAAAAGCAUUUGUUAUGUAUAUGGAAGCCAUCUAUUUUUGUACAAUUCUCUGUUUUAAAAAUACAGUGUUUUUGUAUGUAAUAUUUAAUUUAAAUGUAUUAUACUUGGUUGGAAUGAAUUUAUAUGAUACUUGGAAUAAGAUAU